GAUGAACGCUGGCGGUAUGCCUUACACAUGCAAGUCGUACGAAGGUUUUUAACCUAAGUGGCGGACGGGUGAGUAACACGUGAGAAUUUGCCUUUAGGAGGGGGAUAACAGAGUGAAAACGCUGCUAAUACCCCAUAUGCUUUCGAGUGAAAUGGAUUUAUUCGCCUAAAGAGAAGCUCGCGGCUGAUUAGCUUGUUGGUAAGGUAAUGGCUUACCAAGGCGACGAUCAGUAUCUGGUUUGAGAGGACGAUCAGACACACUGGAACUGAGACACGGUCCAGACUCCUACGGGAGGCAGCAGUGGGGAAUUUUCCGCAAUGGGCGAAAGCCUGACGGAGCAAUACCGCGUGAGGGAUGACUGCCUAUGGGUUGUAAACCUCUUUUCUCAGGGAGGAAAUCAAUGACGUUACCUGAGGAAUAAGCAUCGGCUAACUCCGUGCCAGCAGCCGCGGUAAGACGGAGGAUGCAAGUGUUAUCCGGAAUCACUGGGCGUAAAGCGUCUGUAGGUGGCUUAACAAGUCAACUGUUAAAUCUUGAGGCUCAACUUCAAAAUCGCAGUCGAAACUAUUCAACUAGAGUAU
rnacentral:rRNA from 1 species